ACAAGUGACACGGGGUGCCCACAGGGCUGAGAUCACACCCGUCGAACCUGAUCUAGCUCGUACUAGCGAAGGGAUGUCGCGCAUGAUGCGC
rnacentral:ncRNA from 2 species